rnacentral:rRNA from 1 species
UACGUAGGUGGCAAGCGUUGUCCGGAUUUACUGGGCGUAAAGGGCGUGCAGGCGGUUUGUUAAGUGCAGGGUGAAAGCUCCCGGCUCAACUGGGAGAGGUCCUUGCAUACUGGCAGACUUGAGGGAGGCAGAGGAAAGUGGAAUUCCCGGUGUAGUGGUGAUAUGCGUAGAUAUCAGGAGGAACACCAAUGGCGAAGGCAGCUCGCUGGGACGGUACUGAGGCUGAGGCGCGAAAGCGUGGGGAGCAAACAGG